rnacentral:lncRNA from 1 species
ACUUGGGCUAAGAAAAGUGAGAAGGAAGAAGAGCGCCAUUUCCCCAAAUGCCAAAAUAGAGAAAUCCGCCAUCCUUGAUCUCCACAUCUCCUACCAGCAUCUCGUCGCCAUCUAAGCUACAUCUCCAGCCAACGAAGUGCCGACUGCCCAAUAAGACCUCAAUUUAGAUUUUUAAGCUUUAUUCUUAUUCAUUUUAGCUAUUUGGUCACUAGAAAUUCUAGAUUUCUUUAACUUUUUUGCAUUUGAAUUUCCAACUAAACUUCUGAUCAGCUCUUUAAGGUCGAAGAACAUGAAAAGAACGAUGUAAAACCCAGUUUUACUAUCUUUUUUUCCUAGUGAAGAUUUUCGACUGACCCAAUUAAACCUCCGGUCAAAUUUUUAAGCUUUUAUUAUAAUGCAUUUUAUGUUAGGAAUGUGACUCAAAUUAGGAGAUUGAAGAAGCAUAAUUUGACUAGAGUUGAGAAGGAGAUUAAAUUCCUAUUUGACUAGAGUUGGAAAGGAGAUCAAAUUCCUAAUUGUAAUCUAAUUUCUUACCUUUUGGAACUCUGCUUAGAGUUUGGCUGAGUAGUAUAAAUAUUAGGUUCCUUUGUUAGUUUAGGUAGAGUAACAUAAAAACAAUAUUGCUAGUUUAUCUUGUAUUUUUCAUACUGUUGAAUUAAUAAAUAUCGUUCCUUUGUGUUUACUCUUUGUGUUCUUUCUUUACAAAUUAAAUCUUGUGUUUUUUGGUGUGUGAUCUAGUAUACUUCAGUAUUGUCAUAUAAUCUAGUUCUUUAAAAUCCAGUUUGGAAUCAAUGUAUGUUAUUGGAGCUUUCGUGCCUCCAACAAGUGGUAUCAGAGUUAGAUUGUUGAUUUUCUGUGGAAUGGUUGAGAUUUUUUUCGAGAUGGCAGGGUUGAAAUAUGAUAUUCUACAAUUAAAUCACAAUACAAUGUUUUCGUUGUGGCAAGUAAAGAUGAGGGCUAUUCUAGCACAGUUAGAUUUGGAAGAUGCGUUGUUAGGUUUUGAGAGGAUGCUAGUUGAACGGACAACGGAGGAGAAACAACGAAAGGAUCGAAAGGCUAUGUUAUUAAUUCAUCUUCAUCUGUCCAACAACAAUCUGCAGGAUGUCUUGACGGAGAAAACGACGGAUGCUUUGUGGUUAAGGUUGGAGCAGUUGUGUACAACUAAGAGUUUUACAAGUAAACUGACUCUUAAGUAGAAGUUGUAUUCACUUCGCAUGGCGAAAGGAGAGUCAUUAGAAGACCAUGUUGUCGUGUUCAAGGAAAUAGUUACAAAUCUAGAAACAUUGGAGUUUAAAUACGAUGAAGAGGAUUUUGCCUUGAUCCUAUUGUGUUUGCUGUCUGGAUCUUAUGCGUCGUUUCGGGAUACUAUCUUGUAUAGUCAAGAUACUUUGACUAUAGAAGUUGUCUAUGAUACUUUGCACUCAAAGGAGAAGAUGAAGCAUUUGGUUGGAGCUACAUUAAAAGAUAGAGAAUCUCUUGUAUCUCAAGGUGGUCGAUGAAGAGACAGAUUUAGCAAUGUUACCUGUUACUACUGCAAAAGGAAGGGACAUAUUCGGAAUGAUUGUAAUAUAUUGCAGGCUAAAGGUGAUUUAGCUGCAAAUCGUGGGGUGCAACCUUUGAAUUCAGACGAAACUAAUGUAGUUGAAAAUUGUUCAGAUGACGAAGAGGUGAUGUUGACCGUGGUAUUUAAUGUGGAGUCUAGGCAUGACGAUGAGUGGAUUCUUGAUUCAGCAUGUUCAUACGAUAUAUGUUCUGAUAGGAAUUUAUUUAAGACAUAUAAGGUUGUUCAGCAAGGUGAAGUUAUAAUUGGAAACAAUCAAUCUUGUCGUAUUACUGGGAUCGGUCGAGUUAGAUUGAGGUUGCGGGAUGGAACAUUAGAACAAUUGAUCAGGUUCGACAUGUUCCUGACCUGAAAAGAAAUCUCAUUUCGCAAGCACCUUGGAUGCAAAUGGGUUUAAAUUCUCUGGAGAAGGUGGAGUCUUGAAGGUUCGAAAGGGAGUUUUAAAUUCUCUGGAGAAGGUGGAGUCUUGAAGGUUCGAAAGGGAGUUUGGGUUGUACUGGAGGGAUGGAAAAGAUCUCAGUUAUACGUUUUGCAGGGGAGUGCAGAACCUUUUAGGAGACAUUUGGAUAAGUUUAGUACCGUGGUGGAAGUUCAGUUUGGUAUAAUACCUCAUGGGUUGGGCUUUGAGUCAAUUCAGAAUACUGCUAGGAAAAGCGUUGGUAAUUCCAUUUUGUCACCAAUUUCAACGGGUACACUGUGUUCAGCUGCUGGAGUAGGACUCAUCAAGCGUAUGUACUGUGGUGUCAGCAAUGUCUGGGAUGCUUCUGGGGAUGUUGAAGGUAAUAGUUCUAGCAAUGGGCGUUCUGAUCAAGCAUUUGAUUUGGUUCUUGCUACAAGGUGUGCUUCGAUCCUGUGUGAUCAAUAUUAAUUCCUUGGUGGAAUUGAGAACCAUGGGGUUGGGUUCUUAUGUCGGUUGUGGAUGCCGAAUAGAGGACGAGUGUUUGGUUUAUAUGGAGUGGUUACUGUGUUGAGGAAAUUCAACCGGUUCAUUUCGUUGCAGACGGAUUUGAAAUCUAGGAGUUUCUUUCACUACACUGAAAUUUGAGUCAAGAUGGAGAUUUUUAGGAAUGUGACUCAAAUUAGGAGAUUGAAGAAGCAUAAUUUGAGUAGAGUUGGAAAGGAAAUCAAAUUCCUAAUUGUAACCUAAUUUCUUAUCUUUUGGAACUCUAUUUAGGGUUUGGCCGUGUAGUAUAAAUAUUAAGCUCCUUUGUUAGUUUAGGUACAGUAACAUAGAAGCUUUAUUACUAGUCUAUCUUGUAUUCUCCAUACUAUUGAAUUAAUAAAUAUUGUUCCUCUGCAUUUACCCUUUAUGUUCUUUCUUUACAAAUUAAAUAUUAUGUUUUUUUCGGUGUGUGAUUUAGUAUACUUCAAUUUUGUCAUAUAAUUAAUUUCUUUAAAAUUCGGUUUGGAAUCAACGUGUGUUACUGGAGCUUUCGCGCCCCAACAUUUUAGGUAUUUGGUGCUAUAAAAUUCUAGGUUUCUUGAAUUUCUUUUCACUGGAGUUUCCACCUAAACCUCUGAUUAACUCUUUAAGGUUGUAGAUUAUGUAGGUCGGUUAUAAUUACCAUUUUCAUUUAGAAACUAUUUUUAAGUUCAGGUAGAUUAUGUGGGCCAGUUAUAAUAUGCCUUUUUUUUUCUUUUUUUUUUUUUAAUCGUCAUCUCCACUUGUGAUAUAUAAUUAUAAAUUUUGUGGCAAGAAAGGAAACUGUGGAGGAUGGAAAUCAUGAUUUGUUGCUGGAAUGUGAUAACGAGAACAUCACAGAGAAUUUGAAUAUAUUGGACAACGAAAAUGUAGGAGGAGAUGUUGCGACUGUGAUUGAAUUUACUUGUUUAUAAAUGUUUGUAUUGGGAGAUAUAAUUAUUACAAUUUGAAGUUACUUGUUUAUGAAUGUUCAAUGUUGAAUAGCAAAAAUCGGCAAGCUUUGUGUUGUUGCUGAUAUCUGUUCAGAUAAGCUUUUAUCAUUAAUGUUUACCCUGAGUUAAUUAAAAUAUGAUUGCGUGGUUUAAUUUCUACCCUUUUAGGUGUAUGUAGCUAAUUUGCAUUGGGAUGGAGUAACUCAUGUAAUUCAAAUUUCUGUUGUCACACCAUCAUAGAGUUGUCUUUUGGUUUUUUCAAUUUGCUUGCUGAGUCCACUAUUAGAAGCUAAAAUCAAAUGGAAAUGAUUUGCGUUCUUACAAUCCCUUUUAAUGUUUUUUCAGUCUUGGUUUGCUACUUUAGCUUGGAAUAAGGGUGUCAAAAAGGCUCGACGGCUUAGGAGACCCACGGUGCAGCUAGGAAAAAGCUCGAGCCAACCCGCUUUAGCUUGGAAUAGGGGUGUCAAAAAGGUUCAACGGCUCGGGCGGCCCACGGUGCAGCUCGGGAAAAGCUCGAGCCAACCCGGUUCAUGGCUCGGGCUGAGCCAGAGCGGCUCGUGAGCCUUUAAUUAAAAAAAAAAAAGGCAACAAAUUCUGCCUUUAAAAAGGCCUUGAAAGGCAGCAAAUUCUACCUUUUAAGGCAGUGAGAAAAAGACAAAAAAAAGGAGCCGAACCGGCUCAAAAAAGCUCGAGCCGAAAACUUAGAUCAAGCCGAAAUUUUUGCUCGGCUCAGCUUGAGCUAGUAAAAAAGCUCGACCAUUUUAACCAAGCUAAGUUAGAGCCGAAAGUUUUAGGCUCGAGCUCGGCUCGGCUCGGCUCGUUGACAUCUCUAACUUGUAACAUUAAUCUAUCAGUUUGAAGGAUAAAGAUGCAG